GGCUCAGGACGAACGCUGGCGGCGUGCUUAACACAUGCAAGUCGAGCGGUAAGGCACUUCGGUGUACACGAGCGGCGAACGGGUGAGUAACACGUGAGUAAUCUGCCCUUCACUCUGGGAUAAGCACUCGAAAGGGUGUCUAAUACCGGAUACGACCAUUCCCUGCAUGGGGUGAUGGUGGAAACUUUUGUGGGUGGGGGAUGUGCUCGCGGCCUAUCAGCUUGUUGGUGGGGUAAUGGCCUACCAAGGCUUCGACGGGUAGCCGGCCUGAGAGGGUGACCGGCCACACUGGGACUGAGACACGGCCCAGACUCCUACGGGAGGCAGCAGUGGGGAAUAUUGGACAAUGGGCGGAAGCCUGAUCCAGCAACGCCGCGUGAGGGAUGACUGCCUUCGGGUUGUAAACCUCUUUCAUCAUUGACGAAGCCUGAUGUUGAGUUGGGUGACGGUAGGUGGAGAAGAAGCACCGGCCAACUACGUGCCAGCAGCCGCGGUAAUACGUAGGGUGCGAGCGUUGUCCGGAAUUAUUGGGCGUAAAGGGCUCGUAGGCGGUUUGUCGCGUCGGGAGUGAAAACACUGGGCUUAACCGAGUGCUUGCUUUCGAUACGGGCAGACUAGAGGUAUGCAGGGGAGAACGGAAUUCCUGGUGUAGCGGUGAAAUGCGCAGAUAUCAGGAGGAACACCGGUGGCGAAGGCGGUUCUCUGGGCAUUACCUGACGCUGAGGAGCGAAAGUGUGGGGAGCGAACAGGAUUAGAUACCCUGGUAGUCCACACCGUAAACGUUGGGCGCUAGGUGUGGGGCCUAUUCCAUGGGUUCCGUGCCGCAGCUAACGCAUUAAGCGCCCCGCCUGGGGAGUACGGCCGCAAGGCUAAAACUCANUG
rnacentral:rRNA from 1 species